rnacentral:rRNA from 1 species
UCCAGACUCCUACGGGAGGCAGCAGUGGGGGAUAUUGCACAAUGGGGGGAACCCUGAUGCAGCGACGCCGCGUGAACGAAGAAAUAUUUCGGUAUGUAAAGUUCUAUCAGCAGGGAAGAAAAUGACAGUACCUGACCAAGAAGCCCCGGCUAACUACGUGCCAGCAGCCGCGGUAAUACGUAGGGGGCGAGCGUUAUCCGGAUUCACUGGGCGUAAAGGGAGCGCAGGCGGCACGGCAAGUCCGGUGUGAAAGCCCGGGGCCCAACCCCGGGACUGCUCUUGGAACUGCGCGGCUGGAGUGCAGGAGGGGCAGGCGGAAUUCCUGGUGUAGCGGUGAAAUGCGUAGAUAUCAGGAGGAACACCGGUGGCGAAGGCGGCCUGCUGGACUGCGACUGACGUUGAGGCCCGAAAGCGUGGGGAGCAAACAGGAUUAGAUACCCGCGUAGC